rnacentral:lncRNA from 1 species
CCCUGCAGGUAGAGGAGAAUCUGUAACAAGACUGGGAAGGAAAGAGGAGACAAGUUCUCUUUACCAUUCCAUGGGAAAAUAAGCUGGUGGAUUAUCAUCUGGAAACUGUGUGAAGUGCCAAGAUGAACGAUGAGAGGCUGGAGAACCCUGGUCCCUCCCCACUGACUGAAGGUCUGAAGAGAAAGAGAGGAAGACCAAAGAAGCAGCUGCAGGAGGAAGCUGUGGGACCACUGCCAGAGAAAAAGCCACGAGGAAGGCCAAAAGGAAGCAAGAAAGUGAGCAGUGUAACUGGACAAAUGGUAGAACCUCCUGCUGGGAAGAGGCCCCGAGGAAGGCCCCGCAAGUGGCCUCAGCUGGUGAUGCAAGAAAGAGCAUCUCGGGAAGGCAGUCCUCGGGGAAGUGGUGACUUGGAUGCGAACUCGGCGCCUGCCGCACAAGGUUAGAAAUUAGACAGCCGGAAUCCCCCAGGGCUGAGCGUGGAACCACGCUCCUUGCAAACCACGCGCGUGGCCCCACAGCUGCAGCACCGGCUGCAACCCUUCUGCAAAUCCUACCAACAGAGGAGUGUUUGGAAGGGCUCCAGAAACACGGGAGGGAAACGCAUUUCUUCCAUCUGAUUUGGUGGUGACUACUUGAGCAGAAGGGGAGGCAGAAAGCAGGGGAUGGGAAGAGUCUCUAUAUUUAUCUUAAUAAGAAGUCAUUUAUCUGCGGUGAUGGCUGCUGUCGCAGUACGGCUGAGUGAAAUUGUCAGGCUGUGUUAAGAUAGCGGGCUCUCCUUUUCUACGUGAAGGUCUUACCUACCUAAAACUGUGAAGAGCCCUCAGCAUUUGGGGUGUGCUGCAGUUGCAGAUUUGUGCCAGCCUGUUCCUGGUAGUCGUGCUCUCUCCUUCCGGGCCGCACUCUGCAGCAGCACCAUGGGAGAUGCUCGUGCAUCAGCAGCACAGCAGUGAUGGCACUGGCAUGUUUCUAUGCGGGGCUGGGAGUUGCAUAAGCUGCUCUGAGAUGAGGUGACAGAUAACUGUGUCACUGUCAUGGGAACACACAGAUGCACCAUCCAGAGCGUCGGUUGCACUGCAGUCGUGGGAAAGUGCAAACUCAAUCCAGCCUGUACGACUAAGGGCUGCCCCAAGCUAUGGGCCAGCAAAACCUGCACGCAGCUGAGCCCUACCUCCAGCGAGCAUCACAGGAGGUGAUUCAUUACAUGCUUUCCCCUGAGUGGGAGGUGGCAGAGAGCCAGCAGCCCAGGAGAGACAGAUGUUGCCUUGCUUUGCCAUGUGGUCAGCACAGC